CUCAUCUCCUCUCUCAUCCGCGAUGUUCUCGGUUUCUGCUGCUUGAUUGCAUUAAGAUUAUAAAAAAUGAAGGGUAAAGAACAUAAGCCGCCAAAUGCCAAUAAAAGGUCCAAGAUAGUUCCCAUUAUUCUAUUGUGUGUAGUCAUAUGUGGAUUAUCAUUUUAUCUCGGAGGCAUCUAUGGUUCUGUGAAGAAUAAAUAUCUGGCAAAGCCUGUGGCGCCUCUAGUUCAAUAUCGAAAAGAAACGGGUCCAUCUCCUCUUCAAAUCAAGCCUCCUGCGUUCUCCGAGUGCAGUACUGAUUAUCAAGAUUACACUCCAUGCACAGACCCAAAGAGAUGGAGGAAGUAUGGUACUUACCGACUAACUCUCAUGGAAAGGCACUGUCCACCGAUGGCUGAGCGGGAACUAUGCUUGAUUCCCCCUCCAGAUGGCUACAAGCCGCCAAUCAGAUGGCCAAAGAGCAAAAAAGAAUGUUGGUACAGAAAUGUACCGUAUGACUGGAUCAACAGCCAGAAGUCUAAUCAGAACUGGCUUAGAAAAGAAGGGGAGAAGUUCCUCUUUCCUGGUGGAGGUACCAUGUUUCCUCAUGGAGUUGGCGCGUAUGUUAACUUGAUGCAAGAUUUGAUACCUGAAAUGAAGGACGGAACUGUGCGAACCGCCAUUGACACUGGUUGUGGGGUUGCAAGCUGGGGAGGCGAAUUGUUGGGCCGUGGAAUUCUAACUCUUUCUCUUGCACCUAGAGAUAAUCAUGAAGCUCAAGUGCAAUUUGCGCUUGAGCGUGGAAUUCCAGCAAUUCUAGGCAUUAUAUCAACGCAACGCCUUCCUUUCCCAGCCAACUCGUUUGAUAUGGCUCACUGUUCCAGAUGUCUAAUUCCAUGGACUGAGUUCGAUGGGAUUUACCUUCUAGAAAUACACCGAAUCCUUCGUCCCGGUGGCUUCUGGGUGCUCUCUGGACCACCUAUAAACUACAAGAUCCGAUGGCGUGGGUGGAACACAACAGUGGAAGAACAAAAAUCAGAUUUUGAUAAACUCAAAAAGUUGUUGACCGGCAUGUGCUUCAAAUUAUACAAUAUGAAAGACGAUAUUGCGGUGUGGCAGAAGUCUUCGGACAAUAGCUGUUACGAUAAGCUCACUCCAUCAUCCCAACCACCAAAAUGUGAUGACAGCUCUGAUCAAGAUGCAGCAUGGUACAUUCCUCUCCGCCCUUGCCUGACUGUCCCCGACCAAAGCUUUAAGAAGCUGGCACUUAAAUCUACUCCAAAAUGGCCGAGUCAAUUGCAUGUAGCUCCUGAGCGUGUAUCAACGGUUCCUGGUGGGAAUGCUGGUGGGUUUAAGCAUGAUGAUAGUAAAUGGAAGGUCAGGGUGAAGCACUACAAGACGUUGCUUCCGGCUCUUGGAAGUGAUAAAAUUAGAAAUGUUUUGGAUAUGAACACAGUGUAUGGAGGAUUUGCAGCAGCGCUUAUUGACGCUCCAAUAUGGGUGAUGAAUGUUGUAUCUUCUUAUGGUCCAAAUUCUCUUGGCGUGGUCUAUGACAGGGGACUAAUUGGAGCCUACCAUGAUUGGUGCGAGGCAUUUUCGACUUAUCCCCGGACGUAUGACCUCUUGCAUCUUGAUGGGUUAUUUACUGCUGAAAGUCACAGGUGUGACAUGAAGUAUGUUCUCCUUGAGAUGGACCGCAUCCUUCGUCCG
rnacentral:misc_RNA from 1 species